AGGUCCUGACAUAUUGCCUGGCCCCCGUUGGAUGCAUGGAUGUUUAUUGAAUGAAUAUUGAAAGAUGGACUUUAUUAAAUGUGUUGAUGGAGAAGCCAAGAUGAAAAGCCAGGAAUGUUACUCCAUGGAGAGACUGUGGAAAAGCUUUGUUGGUAUAAGCGGUCAUGUUUUGGGGUAUUUAAGAUGCAUCUGAUUAGUUGGAAGAGAAAAGACCUGGAAUCACAGAGCAACUUGAACAUAUUUUAUUGUUAGUGUUCAUUGACUUGGCAGACCCUCUCUUAACUGCAAGCUUCAAAUCAACAGAUGCUUCUAGUCUGGGAACCUAGGGGAGUUCUCAGGGCCAUGUAUCCUGUUUCUUUUAAUAGAAUUGCAGCCUGACUAAGGUAAAAAUUAGUUUCCUUUUUAUAUUCUUUAAUUCCUUGUCUUCACUCUUUAAUCAAAUGUCUUGUUUUAAUUUUUCCUUGCCCUGUGGCGUUGGCUUAUGUCUAGCCACAAAAUGUCCCAUUUCAUAUACGUUUUAAAAAGUGGACCACAGGAGGAAAUAUUUCAUCCAAAGGGAAUAUUAUAGUUUGAACACUUAAGAUCUAGAAUCAAAGAGUCUGCAGUAGGAGUCAGUCACAGAACACAAAUAACAGGGCCACAGAAU
rnacentral:lncRNA from 1 species